GUUUUGAGACGGAGUCUUGCUCUGUCGCCCAGGCUGGAGCGCAGUAGCGUGAUUUCAACUCCCUGCAACCUCGGCCUCCCAGGUUCAAGCGAUUUUCCCGCCUCAACCACAGGCCAGGAAGUCGCGCAGGUAGUAGUAGUCCAGGCAGAGGUAGAGCUCCUUCUCAUAGCUAUGGGUGGGGGCGGCCUGGCAGGAACCUGCAGACACAGAAAGGCCCUGCUCAGCGACCGCGUCCAUGUGUCCGGUCGCCUGUCUCCUGUGACCGCCUGUGGCCGGUGGCCACCUGCUCAAGCGCGCUCCCGGAAGACCCGGCAGUUCAAGACCUCCCAGCUACUUGAACCCCAAAUGUCUUUUUUUAUUUUUUAAAUAAAGAUGGGGUUUUACCCUGAUGGCCAGGCUGGUCUUGAACUCCUGACCUCAGGUGAUCCACCCACCUCGGCCUCCCAAAGUGCUAGGAUUACAGGCGUGAGCCACCACGUCCGGCCGAACCCCAGAUUUCAAGGCUGCAAUGAGCUAUGAUCCCUGCACAGCACUCCAGCCUGCGAGACUGAGGUCAACCCUGCCUAAAAAAUAAAAAAUAAAACUGUUCAGGUGUGUAACAGGGAGGGACUGUCUAAAGAAAACAGUCCGAUCGGCUCCACGUGAGGGGCGGGCCUUCAGUGACGUCACAGGAGCGCGCCCUCGUCUUUGUGACGUCAUAUUCCGGCCCCUCGGCGUCAGCGACGUCACAGACGCGGGCCGUCGGCGUCAGCGACGUCAGGGACGGUACAGUGCCUGGCGUUGAGCUGCGUUGUCGUCGGAGUGGUGCCUUGCAACCGUGCUCUCCACGCCAGAUCAUGCGUGUUGUUGGCCGAAGGAGGAUAAUUGACAAACUCCGACUCAAUUCAGACUUUAUGUCGGUCAAAAAUAGAAAGCCGUGUCCCGCGGAGGCGGAGGAUCCCUUCAGUCCAGGAGUUCUAGUGUAGCCUGGACGGUACGGCGCAACCCCGUCACUGUAGUCCCACCUCAGCCUCCCAGCUACUUGAACCCCGAGGGUCCAGGCUGCAAUGAGCUAUGAUCCCCCCACCGCACUCCAGCCUGCGAAACUGAGGUGGUGAAGGCCUCCAUUGUCCUGACCCCACAGUUUCUGUCCCAUGACCAGGGUCAGCUGCAGCAGCAGCACGUAAUGUCAGUGCCAUCCCGCAUGCGAGCACCUGAGGAAGGUAUUUCAGGACAGCAAGGCGCAGGCGCAGGUCCGCUGAGAAACUGAGCAAGAGCGUCUGUGCUGAGCUCUGGUACCACCAGAGGGCGCGCGAACCCACCCCUGACCAACUUCCCUCCGAGGUACCAGAAGCAGCCAGGAGCUUAGACUUCCUGAGGGCAGCACGAGGGUCAUGUCAGCUUGGUGUUGUUCACUGAGUCCCGGCAGUUAUUGCUGUACCAGAUUUGCGGCAGCCCACAAAAUACUCCGGCAUAUUUUACCCAAAUCACGGACACUCUCCAGAUUAUUCACUGCUAGUGUAUACAUAUAAAAUGGAUUUUUCUGCCAGGCACCAUGGCUCACACCUGUAAUCCCAGCACUUUGGGAAGCCAAGGCAGGCAGACCACCUGUGGUCAGGAGUAUGAGACCAGCCUGGGCAACAUGACAAAACCCAUUUCCUACUAUAAAUACAAAAAUUAUCUUGGUGUGGUGGUGCAUGCCUGUAAUUCCAGCUACUCAGGAGCCUGAAGCAGGACAAUUGCUCGAAACUGGGAGAUGGAGGCUUUAAUGAGCCAAGAACAUGCCUUUGUACUCCAGCCUGGGUGAGAAGAGUAAAACUCCAUCUCAAAAAGAAAUAGUAAUGAUAAUGAUAAUAAUAAUUACUAUAUAAUAAUUACUACUACUACUAAUAAUAAUAAAAUGGAUUUUUGUGUUGGUAUUGUGCUUGUACGUUUUCCCCAUUUGGUUACUAUUUCUAAUAGUUUUUUGAACAUUCCUUAGGAAUGUCCAUGUAUGAGAUCAGGUGAGAAUUGACCCUUGAAUAGUUGUUAUUUUAUUUUCUUGCAUAAUUGCCCUACCUGUAUCUUCCAAUACUGUUGAAUACAAGAGUGCACGUGGGUGUCUGUGCCUUGUUAUUCUAUUAGGAAUAAAACUUUCAGUGAUGACAAUUGAGUAUGUUUACUGUUGGUUUUACAAAAUUGCUUUUUAUCAUGUUUAAGAAACAUCCUGUUUCUAGGUUUGUGAGUAUUUUUUAUCGUUUCUAGGUUUGUGAGUAUUUUUUAUCGUUUCUAGGUUUCUGAGUGUUUUUUUAUCGUUUCUAGGUUUGUGAGUGUUUUUUAUCGUUUCUAGGUUUCUGAGUGUUUUUUAUCGUUUCUAGGUUUGUGAAUGUUUUUUAUCGUUUCUAGGUUUGUGAGUGUUUUUUAUCGUUUCUAGGUUUCUGAGUGUUUUUUAUCGUUUCUAGGUUUGUGAGUGUUUUUAUCGUUUCUAGGUUUCUGAGUGUUUUUUAUCGUUUCUAGGUUUGUGAGUGUUUUUUAUCGUUUCUAGGUUUGUGAGUGUUUUUUAUCGUUUCUAGGUUUGUGAGUGUUUUUUAUCGUUUCUAGGUUUGUGAGUGUUUUUUAUCGUUUCUAGGUUUGUGAGUGUUUUUUAUCGUUUCUAGGUUUCUGAGUGUUUUUAUCGUUUCUAGGUUUCUGAGUGUUUUUUAUCGUUUCUAGGUUUCUGAGUGUUUUUUAUCGUUUCUAGGUUUCUGAGUGUUUUUUAUCGUUUCUAGGUUUCUGAGUGUUUUUUAUCGUUUCUAGGUUUCUGAGUGUUUUUUAUCGUUUCUAGGUUUGUGAGUGUUUUUUAUCGUUUCUAGGUUUGUGAGAGUUCUUUAUCCUGACAUGAUAUUGAACUUUGUCGGCAGCCCUUUCUGCAUCAGUUGAAAGAAUUACGGAGUGCUUUCCAUUCAUUCUAAUAAUACAGUGUGUUACAUUGAUGGAGUUAGUGUGUGGAACCAGAGUUGCUCUUCUAGGAUAAAGAAAUCAUGUUCAUGGUGUUUGAUCCUUUCCAAAUGCUGUUGGUUUAAAUUUACUAUUAUUUUGUUGAGGAUUUCUAAGUCUGCACUUCUGAGGUUAUAGAUCGUAGAUUUCAGUCCUUGAAAUGGCAUGACACUGUGUAGGAUGGAUCAGGGUGGGAUUGGGUAGAGAUGGCGGUUACUAUUUACAGAGUUAGUGUGUAAGGGUAUUACACAAUCAGGACAUAGGGCUUUACAGGCUAAGAGUUUACCAGUUAAAGAUUAUGGCUGGGGCCGGGCACAGUGGCUCACGCCUGUAAUCCCAGCACUUUGGGAAGCCAAGGCAGGUGGAUCACAAGGUCAAGAGAUCGAGACUAUCCUGGUCAACAUGGUGAAACCCCGUCUCUACUUAAAAUACAAAAAAUUAGCUGGGCAUGGUGGCGCACACCUGUAAUCCCAGCUACUCAGGAGGCUGAGGCAGGAGAAUUGCCUGAACCCAGGAUGUGGAAGGUUGCAGUGAGCUGAGAUCACGCCAUUGCACUCCAGCCUGUGUAACAAGAGUGAAACUCCAUCUCAAAAAACAUAAAAAAAGAUUAUGGUUUAAGGGCUCCGAGAUAGGAGGUUCAGGUUGAGAGCUCCAUAGUAGAGAUUAGAAGGAGAGAUUAGGCUAAUAGGGUUAGGUUGACAGGUCAGAAUUACAGUGAAGGGUUAGGGUGAAAGUUUUAGUAAGAUUUUGGAUUGGGGUUAUAUACAGGUUAGAGUAGGUUUAGCUUAAGGUAAGAAUUAGAGUAGGUAAAAGUAACAUUAGGGUUCAUGAUUGAGGGUUAAGCUUACAUUAGAUUUAAUCGGAGUAAGGUUAGGAUUAGGGAUUAGGAUUAAAGGUUAGGAUUAGUGAUUAGGAUUAAGGGUUAGCAUUCAGGUUUACAGUUUAA